GGAUCCUACGGGAGGCAGCAGUGGGGAAUAUUGCACAAUGGGGGAAACCCUGAUGCAGCAGCGCCGCGUGAAGGAAGACGGUUUUCGGAUUGUAAACUUCUUUUCUUAGUGAAGAAGCAAGUGACGGUAGCUAAGGAAUAAGCAUCGGCUAACUACGUGCCAGCAGCCGCGGUAAUACGUAGGAUGCGAGCGUUAUCCGGAAUUACUGGGUGUAAAGGGAUCGCAGGCGGGACUGCAAGUUGGAUGUGAAAUACCGCAUCUUAACUGCGGAGCUGCAUCCAAAACUGUAUUUCUUGUGUGG
rnacentral:rRNA from 1 species